ACACCGGCCUCUUCUUAUUAAUCCUGCAUUUCAAAAGCUUGUAAAUCCUGUGCAGCCGGAGGAGAUAAAAGCCGGCUCAUCCCCAUCCCGGGGCUGACACGCUUGCACUGACACAGAGUGGCUCAGCGGCCAGGCCUGUGUGCGCACACGCGUGUGCCCAAGGCCCACCCAGCCGCCACCAGCCACCAGCCAGCGUCACAGCCAGGAGAGAGGAGCUCAGCAGCAGAUGAGGAAACCAAGGCUCAGAGAGAUUAAGUGACUUGUGUGAGGGCACAUGGCUGUGGCGAUGCAGCAUCAGGACUGGAAAAGCACUCUAUCUUCCUUGACUCCUCUUGCUUCACAAGGGAAUGAACAGUCCAGUAGCCCUAGGAAUUAGGAGCUAUCAUCACAUAGACUCUACAGAUGGGAAAGCGGAGGCUUGGAGACGUGGAGGGCUCUGCCUGAGGUCACAGGGCUGGUGAUCACAAAGCCAGAACUUAAAGGCCAUCCUGACUCCAGAGCCCACCCCUGCCUUCAGCCACUUGCCUGAACAGUGAGACAGACUGACUUGAAGUCAGCGACAGCGAGUCCAGCCAGGGUGAGCGGAUAAUCGUAGUGCCUGUCUUCUAUGGAUGCUUGAGGAUGACCUGAGAGGCUGUAUGUAACAUGCGUGCCACCGUCAGCCAUGAAGAUAGUGAAGAUGAAGAGGGGCAAUGAUGCUGACGAUAGCUAUGAUGCUGUGAUUUGUAAUAAUAUACAUUUGCUCUUCAUCCAUUUCUGGCACAAAGUUCCUAAAACUCUUAGAAUUUC